rnacentral:rRNA from 1 species
GAUGAACGCUGGCGGCGUGCCUAAUACAUGCAAGUCGAGCGAACAGACGAGGAGCUUGCUCCUCUGACGUUAGCGGCGGACGGGUGAGUAACACGUGGAUAACCUACCUAUAAGACUGGGAUAACUUCGGGAAACCGGAGCUAAUACCGGAUAAUAUAUUGAACCGCAUGGUUCAAUAGUGAAAGACGGUUUUGCUGUCACUUAUAGAUGGAUCCGCGCCGCAUUAGCUAGUUGGUAAGGUAACGGCUUACCAAGGAAACGAUGCGUAGCCGACCUGAGAGGGUGAUCGGCCACACUGGAACUGAGACACGGUCCAGACUCCUACGGGAGGCAGCAGUAGGGAAUCUUCCGCAAUGGGCGAAAGCUUGACGGAGCAACGCCGCGUGAGUGAUGAAGGUCUUCGGAUCGUAAAACUCUGUUAUUAGGGAAGAACAAAUGUGUAAGUAACUAUGCACGUCUUGACGGUACCUAAUCAGAAAGCCACGGCUAACUACGUG